AAAAAAAAAAAAAAAAACAUAACAAAAUCGCAAACGGCAAGCAGCAGGACCAAACUGAAAUCGCAAACCUGAACAAAGAGAAUGAACAAGAAGCAAGAAACGGCAACACCAAAAUCGCAAAUCGCAAGCAUGAAGAGAAGACUGGAUUGCUUUGAGUGGCCACCACUGCAAGAGCUUGCACCUUGCUGGUUGAUAUUUUCCUGAUACUGCAGCACAGGUACCAUAAGAGGAGUUUGAAGUUUCUGAAUCUUGAAUGGUCUCAUAAUAUCAUUGCCAGUGGGUUGUGUUGAAGGACUCUGUGAAUCUUGGAUAAUUUCUUUGCCGUUACGGGUACUCAUGGUUCAAGAAUAAGCAGAUUUUGACAAGGUGAGAAUAAUGGAGAGAAAGGUUAAAAUUCUCAGAGAUAGAACAAGAUGGGGCAAAAGGUAGAUGAUAACAGAAUUGAAAAACAAUCAAAAACGGAGGAGAACCGAGCAAUUAGCUCCACCAAGAACAGUUAAAGUAAAAACUGGAAAUAACCAGCAAUCAUCCAAAGAUGCAACCUAAAAUACAACUACCCAGAAACACAAGGAUUCAGGGAGGAAAACGAGGGAUCAAAUAACGAGGAAAGGAUAGGAUGAGGAAAAAGGGGUCACAGAAUCUAGCGAGGAGAGAUUGAAAUUCAAGAAAAAGAAGAGAAGAGGAAGACUAGGUUAAGAACAGAGUGGAGAGACUCAUGGUUCCAAUCCUAAAGAAGAAUGAGAAAAAAGCGAUGAAGGUGGAUCUUGAUUUGAGAUACCAGAAUCUUGGAGCCUUGAACUAAGAAUUUGAGGUUAAUCCCAUAGCAUGCAUUACUUGAAAGCGCCAAGUCCAGCUGAGUUUUUUUUUUUUUUUUUUACCAAAAGUCCAGCUGAGUUAAAAGUUGAUUUCAUGACAGUAAAGAUCAUGAAUAUUGGCACCAAAGUAUUUAGUUACAUCAAUUUGGUCCCAUACUGUGCAAAUUAGCUUUGAUGUUGCUUUUAACGUGUCAUAAUGAAGACCAACAAAAUUAAAGAAUAAACACAAGGUAGGGAAAUCAAAAACCUGUUUGGCCUCAUCAGUUUGUAAGCUCACAUGCUCUUCUGUUAUUGCAUUGAUCUCUUUGUUCUUGGAAACCCAAAUAAACUUACACACCAUCACCUCUCUUAGUAAUCCUUUCAACCAAUUCACUUCUAGAAAUAAAGCCUCAGUUCUAGAAAUAAAGCCUGCACAUGGCAUAGACUAAACUUCAUACUAAAUACCAAAUCUUGCAUAAGCAUACUUGGAUGCAAAAUCAGAAUCAACUAUGUCCACAGGAUUUAUCAAAUUAAACCAUGUCAUCCUUGGUGCUGCUACUAAAGCAUUCUGGAGUUUUUGCAAUGUUGUAUCAAAGCUUCUGGGAGUAAUGUUUGUGAUGUAUUUCCUCUCUCAAAUACAAGUAAAAUUAGCUAAAGGCACACUGAUUUGGGUUGAUAUUAAUCAUUGCAAGCUUGUCACGGUGGCUUGACACAAAGUUACACUUAUUGAUGAAGGAGGUCUAGGCACCUCACGAUAUAUAAAUGAAGCUGCUGCUCUGAAGAUUUGUUCGGAGCUGGUUACUUCAGACCAUCAAUGGGCUGUUUUACUCAAUGCUGGAUUAUGGGAUCACAUAGUCCUAUCUCCUAUUGCAUUGACUCUUCAAUAUGGUCUGCUCUUGGUGAAUAUGGUCAUUUCAAGUGUCUUCAUGAUUGGUAUUUACACUACUGUAUGCAGGAGUUUAUCCUCAAAACCUUCUCGGAAACCAGUCAUCCCCCAUAACUCCCUCCACUAAAGAGGUGACUUGGCAUUCUCCUAUUGCUCCCUGGAUCAAGUGCAAUAUGGAUGGUACGAAAGUAUGGAUGGCAUCGAUAGGGACAAAGAUACAACUACUAUGGGUUGAUUUGCAGUUAAUUUAGGUAACUUUUAUGUUCUUCAUGCUGAGCUUACAGGUGCAACUGUAGCUAUUGAAAUUGCCUCUAAAAAAGGUUGAAAUUACCUUUGGCCAGAGUAGCCCCCCACCCCACCUCAGUAAAUGAUUCUUGUUAUCUAGGGUUCCAAUAUUGUUGAUAUAUAUUAGAUAGCAUUGUGAUGCCUUUGCACCCCUCCCUUACUUAUUUUUUAUUUUUUUUAGUUAAUUUCAUUUUAAUCUCUUGAUGUAAUUAAAAAGAUAGUUGUAUUUUAUAAACUAUUGCGACCUUAAUGUGUAGGUCUGCUGCAACUUGCAUUAAAGCUUGCUAAUAUGUGAUAAUGAAUCUGA